rnacentral:rRNA from 1 species
GAGCACGUAGGUGGGUUUGUAAGUCAGAUGUGAAAGCCUUCUGUUCAAAGGAAGAACGGCAUCUGAAACUGCAGAUCUUGAGUGUGGGAGGGGAGAGUGGAACUUCUGGUGGAGCGGUGAAAUGCGUAGAUAUCAGAAGGAACGUCGGCGGCGAAAGCGACUCUCUGGCCUAUUACUGACACUGAGUGUGCGAAAGUUAGGGGAGCAAACGGGAUUAGAUACCCCGGUAGUCCUAACCGUAAACGAUGGGCACUAAGUAGAGGGGUUUA